rnacentral:lncRNA from 1 species
UCGCAAUAAAACUCUUCCAAUUUGGUGCAGCGAGUGUUGCCGCCUGAAAGCCGAGUUUGGUUUCAAGCCAACCUGGACAACUGCUGUAUGAGGCGCUGUUUCGCAGGAGGAUCAGUGGGAAGGCGUCAGGUCAUGCAGAUGAUAGCAUCAAUUUCACAAUGCCCAGCCUUGGUGCCCUCCAUUAAGAGCAAGCCACUUGCGUUCGCCUUCAGGCAGAUGGUUGAUGUCUUCUAGGAAGCAGUUGGGAAGACUACAUUGAUGCAAGAUUCCAGCAAUGCCAUGCGCUGCAUUUAUUGGUCAAGAUGCUCAGAGAAUGGAGUCCCUGCACCUCGUGGUGAAAC